GCUUACGGCCAUACCGCUCUGAUCAAGCCUGAUCUCGUCUGAUCUCGGAAGCUAAACAAAGCCGGGCAUGGUUAGUACUUUGAUGGGAGACUGUCUGGGAAUACCAUGUGCUGUAAGUU
rnacentral:rRNA from 1 species